UACGUAGGUGACCAGCGUUGUCCGGAUUUACUGGGCGUAAAGAGCGCGCAGGCGGUCGUUCAAGUCGAGUGUGAAAGCCCCCGGCUCAACUGGGGAGGGUCACUCGAUACUGAUCGACUUGAAGGCAGGAGAGGGAAGCGGAAUUCCCGGUGUAGUGGUGAAAUGCGUAGAUAUCGGGAGGAACACCAGUGGCGAAGGCGGCUUCCUGGCCUGUUCUUGACGCUGAGGAGCGAAAGCUAGGGGAGCAAACGGG
rnacentral:rRNA from 1 species